rnacentral:rRNA from 1 species
UACGUAGGGUGCGAGCGUUGUCCGGAAUUAUUGGGCGUAAAGAGCUCGUAGGCGGUCUGUUGCGUCGGCUGUGAAAACCCGGGGCUCAACUCCGGGCCUGCAGCCGAUACGGGCAGACUAGAGUUCGGCAGGGGAGACUGGAAUUCCUGGUGUAGCGGUGAAAUGCGUAGAUAUCGAGAGGAACACCUGCGGCGAAGGCGGGUUGCUGGGCUGACACUGACGCUGAUGCGCGAAAGCCAGGGGAGCGAACGGG